GCUGUAGGGACCUGGACCAUUCUAUUUGCGCAAUCAUGAAAAUCUACAAAAAUAAGAUGAAAGCCAAGAACGACUUGCUAGCGUAAGACAAAGACAACGUGGGUUAAAGAUUGAAGCAAACAAAUAAAAUCAUUAGAUCAUUAAUUUAUUAGAUUAACUGCAAUGUAUUCGAUACCAGUGUAGUCGAUGCUAGGUAGCUAGCUAUAUCGACCUAGCGAGCUAGCUUACAACAAAAGCUAACAUUAACAUCUUAUGUUCAGUGUUAAUACGAAUCAAAACGUGUUAGGUAAUUACCUUUCUUCUUGAGCGUAAUCGCUGUCCAUAGCAAUCGUGACGAGCGGCACAAAUAUGUUGGACCAGUCGUGUUCGGAUGCCAAUGUAGGCUCGCAAAGCCAGGAGCAACACUUGAAAAGAUGCGAUGUAGUCUGCCUAUGUUGUUGUUGUACUUGAAGUUGGCGCUAGCGUUGCUGGGAAAGCGGAGACGUACACAGACGUAUACAGUGACAUAAUGACGUGGCUCUCUAGCCCGUGGAAAAGCAAACCGGUUCUUAGAAGGUUCGCAAGUUGAACCAACAGUGAACCGGCACUAGCACCAGCCCCGAACCAGAACUAGGUUCACGUUGGUGGAAAAGAGGCAACAGUGAUACAGUACCUAAAUGUGUAAUCAUUAACUCUCGUAUGCUUUUCUGUACUCUACAAUAUGUGAUGUUUUCUUGUAUUGGGAUGGGACAACAUUAAAACAACAUUCAACCUUUCACCACGUUUUGGCAAUAUUCCAGUUGGUCAUAUCCGGUACAUACAUUAAACACAAACUACAAGCAAACCAACAGUGUGAAACCAACGCUUACAUUACAGUGUGAAAUAUCCUCAUUAUAAAAUACCACUAACCUAUUUAAAGAUACUCAAUUUCAAAAAUAACGUAUAACCGAAAUAUUUUCAGCAGUAACACUUACAUUUGGACGAUGAAAUCUUAUCUGUGUUCAGUAGACAGAGACAGAGAUAGAGAUAGAAUGAAUUCUAACUUAGCCCAAAAAACAGUAUAUCAGCUAGGUCUAUCAGCAAUGCCUUAGCCAUGCUCAGAAUUUUUCAAGAAUAAUAGUAUUUUCCAGGAAAUAAUGAAAGUGAUCAAUAAAAUUUCGCCAGGUGCAGUGUCUUUUACGGCUACCAUAGACUGAAUGCGUAAUGCAGCUAUAAUGAGACAAAUCUUUCAGUUACACUGGGCUAUAAAACACUAUUACAAAAGUAAAAUUAGACAUAUUAUACAUCGUUAGAAAGCUUAGUCACCUAUUGGAUCCACUAACUGUCGAUCAAGCCAUAUUAUACUACAAAGGACGAUAACACCGAAAACAACGUGUGGUGUUAUCCACAACUAUUUUGGAAGGUACCCAGGCGUCAAAAAUGAGUGUAUAUUUCACAAACGGAUUGUCCCAGACAAUAUAUGACCACUCCAUCUGGAAAGGGACAUCUCUACACAUAAAAUCAUCAUCUGUACUUUGUAUCCGGGUAUAUCCAGAUUAUGUCCAGAUUCAAUCGAGACGGAUGUCAGUUCACACCUGGCAUUAGGAUGCGUCUCCACAUGCAUCUCGAGUGACCACUUGUGUUUGGAUCUCACUUCCCCGCUCAAUAUGCAAAUAAACAUGUACAUCAUUCCCAUUUGCAAAGACCAAAUGCGUUGUUGUUUUUAACCAGGGGGAGGCAAAAUCAAAACAAAAACAGACUGGGUCUAUUCCUUGGUGUGUUCCAGGCAAACCAAAUCGUCCAAGAUGUUUGACGCACUCGUAAUAUGUUUCUAUGCGCUUUCAAAAUUUUUAAACGUCAUGGACAAAGCCAGCUUACGCGAUUUGAGAACCAACCAAAAUGAUAGUUCUAUCCGCUUCUGUUUUGCUCCAGAAAACGAUGUCAGAUAGGUCUAUAAGCAAACAUAUGGCUUAGCUAUGCCCAGAAGUCCUCAAUAAUAAUAGUAUUUUCCAAGAAAUUAUGAAAAAUCGUUGACGUUUCGUUAGGUGCAGCGUCUUUAACUGCUACCACAGAGUGAAUGCGUAAGUGAAUGUGAUAAGAAAUUUUCUGGUUACGCUUACCUAUAAAACGCUAUUCCAAAAGAAAAAUUAGACGUUAUACACUGUUAGAAAGCUUAUACUCUCACCUACUGAAUAAAUGAAAUCUCAAUCAAGCCGGACUGUAGUAAAAAUGGCGACAACGCCAUAAACAACACGUGUGGUAUUACGCACAGCUAUUUUGGAAGGUACCCAGGCAUCACAAAUGCGCGUAUAUUUCACAAACGGAUUGUCCAAGACAAUAUAUGACCACUCAGUCUCAAAAGGGAUCUCUACACGUGAAACCAAUGGUAAAGUUGCAUAUUUAUUCAAUAUUUAGUCCCAGAUAUUGACUGUAGAAUGACAUGGCAUCAUUUUUUAAAACUUUCUCGUUUUUUUUUCGUUAUUCAGUGAGCAGCGUUUUCACUGCAGUAUUGGCAUAUUUUAGGGCUAUUGUCGGGUUUAUCUUGUUGCUAUGACGGAAUACGAUUUUUGAGUGGUGAAAGAAUAUUUUUAUGAAUGCCCAGAUAGACAAUAUUGUCCAUUAUGUCAUGGUUGGGGGUGUAGUUGUAGAUGAGACUGCAGGGAGGGGGUGCGUGAUAAAUGAACGACCAGAGCGACAAUGGUGGCGCUUCGAAACUCCGUAAUUGGCAUAGUUGUCGGGUAUCGUCUACUAAUGAAACUAAAACAACGUGUUUAUAGGGUUAACUCAUACUUUGGUUGCACUAGCACUGAAUGUCUGAGUUCAGUAAUCUCGGCACGCCGGCAUGCCAACCACUAGGGGCUUUGUGCUAAGAGGUUAAAGGUUAAAUAGGGUAUCGCCUAAAUGUGCAAGGAUUGGCCAGAUUUGGCAUGUGCGCUAAGGGGUUAACUUGUUUGGAAAUUGCUUCUAAGGAGGAACCGAACUUGUGGAGGUCCACAAAUUUUUUUCUGAGGUCUUGGCUGAGUUGCUUGGAUUUUCACAUGGUAUCAAGGGCAAAAAGUGAAAAGGUAGACCCUUAAAUACAGCCACAGGUGCCAACUCCCAAUUAACUCGUAAUUAUGACAAUUGGCCAAUCAGAAGCAACUGGGCAAACUCGUAGAGCUGAUCUAGUUGCUAAAAUGCAAAUAGCUGUAUAUCUGACUCCAUCAAUCCAGCAUCUGGGGAACUGGAAAUUAUAUGCAUAUCAGAGCCUGCAGAGCAAAGGUGUGUUGAAGGUGCCAGAAAGGCAAGGAUGAGCAGCAGCAAGCAGUGGGAUAAAAAAAAAAAAUCAAUGUAUGCAAAUAUAAAAAUCACACAGACACUGCAUGAUUCAGGAAGGAGGCACAAAUUAACUCCCAGGGCUGAACCAAAUACUGACAAAGUGUAGGUAAAAUUUUGACCCACUGAAAAUCUGAUAUAGUACAUAAGUUAAAAUAAAUCUGUCUUUGCUAUUAUUUUUUAAUGACCCCUUAUGGAAAUAAAGUAGAUACACUAAUUCAGUGUUUCUCAACCCUGGUCCUGGGGACCCACUGCCCUGCAUGUUUUAGAUGUCUCUCUGCUCCAACACACCUGAUUCAAAUGAAUGAGUUGUUAUCAGGCUUCUGCAGAGCUUGAUGACGACUCAUUAAUUUGAAUCAACGCUAGCAAACAGGUCAGUGUAUGAUCGCUGGCUGUGAGGACGGUAUGCAACCAAUUUAAGGGGCACUCACCACAAUGGGGAGGCCAAUGUCAGGCCAGAGGAGGUCGUCAGAGGGUGGUUUGGGAGAGUUCCAAACCACCACCACCUUGUUGAGGUAUGGCAGCCCGUUCAGCCUUUCCAGGGAGUUCAUCAGCACCUCCUCCCGCUCAUACGUCAGCAUCACCACCGUAAACUGCUCCCGGGGCACGUUUCCACCCAGUGCUGCCUGAAACUCCUUCCCAGAGCCUCCUGUGCCUCCACCGAUGGGCCGGAAGCCAGUCCCGGACCCCAGAAACUUAGCCUCAGAAGGCAGCACUGGGUCAAGUGGGGUGUGGGGGAAGAGGUGGAAGGGCCCUGGGGGGCGGUUCCAGGUGCGGUAGGUGUCGGCGGCCGUGUAGGUAAAAUUGCGCAGGUAUCUGGGCGAGGCAUAUGGUGGCUCUGUCUCUACUGGCCCAAGGUCCAGGUCCCCAUUGUCAGCCAUGUUGGGGUCAGUACCUGCCGCCUUGCCGGCCUUGUGGGGGAUCUCCUGGGCUGGCUCCUCUCGGAUGGGUGCGGCCGGGAUCUGGAUGCGCGUCCGCACACUGGCUAGGAUGGUGCUGAAGACACUUUCGGCUGUGGAGAGGUAGGUCUCCCAUAGGAAGCGGCCCUGCCGUCGCAUGGCCAGCAGGUCGUUAUCAGAGAUGCUGCGGAGCAGAAAGUGCAACUCAGUGAUGCGUUGCUUGGGCACGAUCAGCGCUGCCUCACUCCAGCUUAUCAGCUGGUGGUAGGGCAGCCGAGAGUGGUCACCUAGAACAACAGGGAUGGCCCCAACCUCCAGGGCCUCAAAGAGCCGCAUGCCGCAGCCGGCAGAUGCCACUAGCUGCCCAUUACCAGGAGAGAUGACUAAGGCAAAGGUGGAGGCCUUCAGUACCCCCAGCCGCUCCUCACGCUCACCACACAGUGCCCACUCGGUGGGCAGGCUGAGCCAUGGCCUGUUCUUGCAGGUGAAUUCCACCAGAACCUGGUCCAGUCGGCUGUCUUGAACAGCCUUGAGGGUACCAAUGAUGCGGUCAUCGUAGUCGGCUGGGGGGUCACCUUCCAUCUCCUCCUCAAAGGACUGGGGUGGCCCCUCCUGCAGGCUGCUCUUCAAGGACUCUACCUUCUCCCCCUGGAAGCUGAAGAGGUACUUCCUCUUGACAGGGACCUGUGGGGGCACUUCCAGGAAGUUGGGUUCAGAGAGGGCAUGGACAAGAGGUGAUAACACCAGGUCAAAGCCUUCACGAUAUUGGCGUUCCAGGAAGGUGGACUGUGCCACAGCUGCCCGGCCUGUGCUCACAUUGUAGAGGAAGUUUUGUGUCAUGGAUUUCCUGGACAGGUGGACCAGCAGGUGAUUGUGGCCAUCAGUUCUCCAGUAAGGCAAAGCAUGCAGCUGCUUUUCCAAAUUAGUGGGUGACAGAGAAGAAUAGGAGGAAGAAGAGGAUGAAGAGUCUUGCAGCUCCCCAACCAGCACUAUGUACAAGCAGGCAAUGUUUGGGUUGUCGAUCACAUAAAUACUGCUUUUGAUGGAGGAGGCAAAGGCCUGCUUGACCAAUGGAUCAAUGUUCUCCCCCCAGGGGUAGACCGCUGUGUCGUACACAUAGACUGGGAACCCAGAGGUGAGUGGACAACGAGAGUAGUCAAAGCAGGAGUGAAGCCGGCAGGAAUGGGCUGAUUUAGGCAGAGGAAGUCCUGCAUCAUCCUUGUCAGGGAGCAGCCUGACGGGGAGUGACAGCUUAGGCUGAUUCUGGGCCAUCAGCUCCUUGUAAGAGUGCUCGGUCUGGCUGAUAACAUUUUUCAGCUGGAGAAGGUCCUGCUUUGCAUUGUCAAUGCUUUUCUUGCAUGCCUCAAUCUUUAUGUUGAGCCGGGCAAUCUCACCGUUAAGCUCCUGCCGCUUAGCCUCCAGCUGCAGUAGCUCCUCGCUCACUGACUCCCGAAUGCGACAAAGAUCCUGCACAUGCUUCACCUCGCACAGCUCACCGCCUGGCCGAGGCCCAAAGAUCCGCUUGUCAGGGCCCCCAGCCUCAUCAAUAGUGGUGAGGUAAUAGUGUGCGAUCAGUGGGAAGAAUACCAGGAUAAAGAAGAGUGUGAAGCUCAGCCAGGUUAGCCGGAUGCGAUUGGACCAGCGCAAGACCCAUGGCUGGCCACCAUUCCCUACCCCCCCACCAUUUCGCAGCAUGUUGUAUGCAGUCAUGCGUUCCUCAUUCAGUGUUUUAUAACUAAGUUGGUGUCAUGGAGGGUCAGCAGCCAUGACGGAAUUUUAUCUAAUAAUAUGGAAAGCACAUUCACACUCUCUUCUUGGGAGCUUUUCCUGUCACCUGUGUCAAAGUUUAGCCUUGUGUAGACUUUUGAGACCAAAACAGAGGACAUUUCAUCUUCCUCCUCCAAGGGUAACAUGAGCUGCACACUUUGUCCAUCCCAACUUCUUCGCUGUUUGGCAUUUUUGGACUCUUGAACUAUUCAAGAGCUGAGAAAAGCCCAAAACUAACAAAGGCGUAGGAGGUUCCAUGGCACUGAGGACACUGAAUAUCUAGGAAGAAUUGGCUAGUUUCUGGCCGGCAGAUUGGCCUCAUGAGUCCAGACCUCCUGCCCCUGGGGUUUGCAUCCUUCAGAGGUUAGAUAAAUGACGUGGGCAGAUGAUACAUUUCUUCACCAAACCUCCAAGGUUCCCAGCCUGAAAAGGAGGAAGAUAGUUUUUAAGUUUCUAAGUUUCUAAUAAUUUUUCUAAAUAGUACAAACAGGGGUUGGACAAAAUAAGUUUUGUCCAAGUUACUAAAUCACAAUUACAAAGCAUAUAGACAGGUGAAUCAUUUGUGACCAAAUGCAUACUUUGGAUAAAAGUUUCAAUUAAAUUUUCCAUCAUGUUAAAGUACAGAAUCAGAGCUACAGAAUGAGAUAACUUUUGAUGAGACUGAGUAAAUAAUUAUGAGGUUAUUACUGUUCGAAUAUUGUGUUUUUGCAAAAAAGUUUUGAGAAAACUGGCUUUAAAGAUUUAGUCGAGAAUUUUGCAGUUUCUCAUCAUA